UUGUACUAACUAACUCUAAUAACUGAGUUUUUUUGAAAAAACAUUGUCUAUAAUACAUUUUGUUUUACUUUUCACUUCACUAAAAAAAUAUUUGUUGGAUGUUUGAAUUUAUUUCUUUGAAAAAAAAAAUUGUAUUGCUCGGUAUUCUUUUUAUCUGGUUGUUAUGAGGGGUAGAUCAUAUAUAAUAUUCUCUAUAAUUGAAAAUAAAGCAAGCUUUUGAAUUUUGAUUUGUAACAGAGUUGGAAUGACAAUUUAAAGAAAUUGUAAAUAAUAUUUUCGCUACUAAUUUCUGCAAUUGAUAACAAUUUUUUUUUUCAUUAUAAAAAUUUGCUUAUUAUUGAUUAUAAUAUAAAAUUUGAAUUAUGACACAUAAAAAGAUAUAUAAUUUUUUUGACCAUUUUCUAACAAUAAAUAAUUUGUUGAACUUAUUCUAAAAAUAGUGUCGGAUUUUCCGUAGGUUGCAAUUUAUUAAAGGGUUUUUUAGACGACUACCUUCAAAACACCUAAAUAUUCUCAAGAGUACCUAUUGAGUAAAAUUAAUUAAAAUUUACGAUCUGACCAAAAUUUGUUGCAAAAAUAAACUUUUUAUUUUGAAAACUACAGUUUCUAACGAACUCCCAAAUUUAUUUCCCUUUGCAUCGGUUCGUCAAAUCCUACUUCGCGACCUUAUAGCGGAGCAUCCAUGGCGAUUUUUCUUUCAAGAUCGAUGAAGCAUAGACGAACAAGAUGGAUAACUCGGUUUGUGCAUCUUGUCCUCUAGGUGCUGCUCUUGUUUAUAUUCAUCUGGAUUGAUUUUUCUUUUUCUUCACGUUGACAGAAAGAUCUAUUAGAGAAUACUUUCUGCAAAUUCAAGCAAAAUAUUUUGAUUUUCAUCUAAUAGAAAGGUCUAUUAGAGAAGCAGUUCACUGGGCAUCGAUUGGAUAGAUCUAUUUGUGAUUGGUUCUUGUAUGAAAUGUCGAUUGGAUAGAUCUAUUUGUGAUUGGUUCUUAAAUGAAAUCAUUUCUCAAGAAGAUUCCUUUAAGUCUUCAUCUUUAAACUGGUUUCUUGAGUUUUUGUGGGAAUUUUCCUGAUUUUGUGAAUUAAAAGGCAUUUGUUUAAGGCUAGUGAUGGAGGAACAGUUGCUUUGGAUUAGCUUAAGUAUUCUGAUAUUGGCCAAUGCUCUUAGUUUUGAUCCUUUUAAUCUGAAUUUUUGUACUUUUAAUUUAGUUAAUGGUGUAUUAGCUGAAAUUUGUCUCGAAUUUGUUGUACAAUUGUAAUUUGCAGUUGAACA